ACGGGUGAGUAACGCGUGGGCAACCUGCCUCGCACCGUGGGAUAACAGGGGGAAGCUCCUGCUAAUACCGCAUAAAGUAUAUAGAUGCAUGUCAAUAUACAAAAAGGGAUACCGGUGAGAGAUGGGCCCGCGUCCGAUUAGAUAGUUGGCAGGAUAGCAGCCUACCAAGUCAACGAUCGGUAGCCGGCUUGAGAGAGUGGACGGCCACACUGGGACUGAGACACGGCCCAGACUCCUACGGGAGGCAGCAGUGGGGAAUAUUGGACAAUGGGGGCAACCCUGAUCCAGCGACGCCGCGUGAGUGAAGAAGUAUCUCGGUACGUAAAGCUCUAUCAGCAGGGAAGAAAAAAAGACGGUACCUGACUAAGAAGCCCCGGCUAACUACGUGCCAGCAGCCGCGGUAAUACGUAGGGGGCAAGCGUUAUCCGGAAUUACUGGGUGUAAAGGGAGCGUAGACGGCUAUGCAAGCCUGGAGUGAAAUGCCGGGGCUCAACCCCGGAGCUGCUCUGGAAACUGCGUGGCUUGAGUGUCGGAGGGGCAGGCGGAAUUCCCAGUGUAGCGGUGAAAUGCGUAGAUAUUGGGAGGAACACCGGCGGCGAAGCGGCCUGCUGGACGACAACUGACGUUGAGGCUCGAAGGCGUGGGUAGCAACAGGAUUAGAUACCCUGGUAGUCCACGCAGUAAACG
rnacentral:rRNA from 1 species